rnacentral:rRNA from 1 species
GACGUAGGGCGCGAGCGUUGUCCGGAUUUAUUGGGCGUAAAGAGCUCGUAGGCGGCUUGUCGCGUCGGCCGUGAAAACCUGUGGCUCAACUGCAGGCUUGCGGUCGAUACGGGCAGGCUGGAGUUCGGUAGGGGAGACUGGAAUUCCUGGUGUAGCGGUGAAAUGCGCAGAUAUCAGGAGGAACACCGGUGGCGAAGGCGGGUCUCUGGGCCGAUACUGACGCUGAGGAGCGAAAGCGUGGGGAGCGAACAGG